CCGGGUGAAAUCCCCGGCCGCCGUAAACCCGAGGUUUCCAGGGCAACGUGUUUCGUCCCUGGGUUAGCCGGGACCUAAGCCGAGGCCGAGAGGCGUAGGCGAUGGACAUCAGGUUAAUAAUCCUGAGCUCGCAACCCUUAAACUGGGGGGACGCAUGAGAAAAGAUGACUAGGUUAUUGAAUUCCGAGUUGAGUCCACGGACUCAGCGCAUCAUUGGAUCGAGUGCCAAGAAAAGCCCCAGCGUAUGCUAAGCGACCCGUACCGCAAACCGACACAGGUGGGUGGGUAGAAUAUACCAAGGCGUAAGAGUGAAACCUGGUUAAGGAACUCGGCAAAUUAGCCCCGUAACUUCGGAAGAAGGGGUGCCUGCAGCGAUGCAGGCCGCAGAGAAAUGGCCCAACCGACUGUUUAUCAAAAACACAGCACUCUGCAAAGACGCAAGUCGAAGUAUAGGGUGUGACACGUGACCAAUGCCGAAAGAUUAAGGCAAGGGGUUAGCCGCAAGGCGAAGCUCUAAACCCAAGUCCCGGUGAAUGUCGGCCGUAACUAUAACGGUCCUAAGGUAGCGAAAUUCCUUGUCGGGUAAGUUCCGACCUGCACGAAUCGUGAAACGAGUUGGGCACUGUCUCAACCAGGCGCUCAGUGAAAUUGUAGUGGCGGUGAAGAUGCCGCCUACCCGCAGAAGGACGGAAAGACCCUAUAGACCUUAACUGUAAGCUGUCAUUGUUUCUUCGGUUUUAAUGCUCAGAGUAAGUGGGAGACGCUGAAGACGCCCUUUAGGGGGCGUCCGAGUCAUCAAUGAGACACCACCCUUUGAAACUGGAGGAUCUAACCCUGAGCCGUGAAUCCGGCCAGAGGACCGUGUCAGCCGGUCAGUUUUACUGGGGCGGUAUCCUCCCAAAGAGUAACGGAGGAGCGCGAAGGUGGGCUCAGCCCGGUUGGCAACCGGGUGUCGAGUGCAUGGGCAUAAGCCCGCCUAACUGUGAGACCAACAAGUCGAGCAGAUGCGAAAGCAGGCCCAAGUGAUCCGGCGGUAGAAAGUGGAAUUGCCGUCGCUCAACGGAUAAAAGGUACCUUAGGGAUAACAGGCUGAUCACGCCCAAGAGUUCAUAUCGACGGCGUGGUUUGGCACCUCGAUGUCGGCUCGUCACAUCCUGGGGCUGGAGAAGGUCCCAAGGGUCCGGCUGUUCGCCGGUUAAAGCGGCACGCGAGCUGGGUUCAGAACGUCGCGAGACAGUUCGGUCCUCUAUCCUCUGUGGGCGUUGGAAAAUUGAGGGGUUCAGACCUUAGUACGAGAGGACCGGGUCUGACGCACCACUGGUGCAUCGGUUGUACUGUCAAGUGCAUGGCCGAGUAGCUAAGUGCGGACGGGAUAAGCGCUGAAAGCAUCUAAGCGCCAAGCCCUUCCCAAGAUGAGUUUUCCCUACAGGUUCGUGGAAGACCACCACGUUGAUAGGUCGCAGGUGUAAGUGCAGCAAUGUAUUGAGCCGAGCGAUACUAAUUACCAAUUGACUUCAUCAU
rnacentral:rRNA from 1 species